ACGGUGCGCAUGCGCAGCAAGCAAAGUUUUGAAGCUGCGCCGAAUUUGCUGAAACUGAGAAGUAAAAAGACUGUUUACAUUUCACCUCUGGACAAAGAAUGAUUGAUUACUUCUACACAAUAAUAAUAAGGAAAAAAGCUUGUGUCAGCUGUCUUCUCUGAGCAGCGGUCUUGUGAUCACCGGUCUCAGUAUAAUAAAGAUUUGACAGAACUACACACCCAUCUGAUGCCUACCUGUUUUAAUUCAUGAUCCCCCCGGAUACUUCUACAACUAACCCGCCUUGGUGUCUGAUGCUGAUGCAGUCUGGGCACUAGUAUCUGUUGGCUUGCUGACUAUCACUGACGAUGAAGUACUUCUCCAAAUCUUGACCCAGUGUCUUCUGCCAUCAUUGUUCAGGGUAGUACUGCAAAGAAUAGUCUCCAGGGUCUGCCUCCAACAUUUGCUUCCCGACCACCAUGUGCUACGUUUGCAUCACUGCUACAUGUGGGUUACCCUGAUACUGUGAAGAACACCUACAAUAUGAUGCUUGACUUGGGACAGAAAAAAAAACAUUGGCAACUUGUGUGGCCAACUCAUUGCCGUAUUUAAAAUCAUUGUACUGCUACCUCCAUUGUUUAACAUAACUAAAAGCAGAUUGUUUUUGCUUUGUUUCAAAAUUUUUGUAAUACGAGUUAAAACUACAUUGAAAAAAAUAUAUCAUCUUUAACUUUGAACUGUCACUACAUUUGAUUUAGGGUAAUGUGUGUGAAGAAUAGAACAUUAAAGGCAAUUGGUCAACUAGAUUUCUGUUCAAGUAAAUACAACUUAGAAAUUCCAAGUUGCAGGAAAUGUUUCUUGAUUUAGCUAAAUUUAAAUUAGUUGUUUGAAAUACGUACAUAGUAUAAUGUACUUAAUUUAGUUGUUGAAAAUAGUAAUUCUGAGUUACAAGUUUACAACACUUAUAAAUAAACCUUUGUUAGUACAAAUUACUAUUCUUAUUUCACUUGUUUUUUUCAAGGCAAUCGGUUUGCAUGCUUUUUUUUAAAUAAGGUUUACUCAUUAUAAUUUACAGUGCAGACAACCUCCCUGCUCAGUGCACACUAGUGAGAUAAAAUCAAAACACUGUAAUUGUAAUAAAGUACUGUUACUAUACUGUA